rnacentral:rRNA from 1 species
UACGUAGGUGGCAAGCGUUGUCCGGAAUUAUUGGGCGUAAAGAGCUCGUAGGCGGUUUGUCGCGUCUGCUGUGAAAUCUGGGGGCUCAACCCCCAGCCUGCAGUGGGUACGGGCAGACUAGAGUGCGGUAGGGGAGAUUGGAAUUCCUGGUGUAGCGGUGGAAUGCGCAGAUAUCAGGAGGAACACCGAUGGCGAAGGCAGAUCUCUGGGCCGUAACUGACGCUGAGGAGCGAAAGCAUGGGGAGCGAACAGG